CCUACGGGAGGCAGCAGUGGGGAAUAUUGGACAAUGGGCGAAAGCCUGAUCCAGCCAUGCCGCGUGUGUGAAGAAGGCCUUCGGGUUGUAAAGCACUUUCAGUGGGGAAGAAAGCCUUGGGGCUAAUGCCCUCGAGGAAGGACAUCACCCACAGAAGAAGCACCGGCUAACUCCGUGCCAGCAGCCGCGGUAAUACGGAGGGUGCGAGCGUUAAUCGGAAUUACUGGGCGUAAAGCGCGCAUAGGCGGUCUGAUAAGCCGGUUGUGAAAGCCCCGGGCUCAACCUGGGAACGGCAUCCGGAACUGUCAGGCUAGAGUGCAGGAGAGGAAGGUAGAAUUCCCGGUGUAGCGGUGAAAUGCGUAGAGAUCGGGAGGAAUACCAGUGGCGAAGGCGGCCUUCUGGACUGACACUGACGCUGAGGUGCGAAAGCGUGGGUAGCAAACAGGAUUAGAUACCCGAGUAGUC
rnacentral:rRNA from 1 species